CCGCGUGAGUGAUGAAGGCCCUAGGGUUGUAAAGCUCUUUUGUGCGGGAAGAUAAUGACGGUACCGCAAGAAUAAGCCCCGGCUAACUUCGUGCCAGCAGCCGCGGUAAU
rnacentral:rRNA from 1 species